rnacentral:siRNA from 1 species
CAAAAUUUCAGGGUCUAUCCU